AAAAAAAGUUUGGGAACCACUGACUUAGCCAAUGCUGGCUGCCUGAGGCCGCUGCGGAGGCUGGAAGACAUUCUCAUGUUUCAAGUAAUACACAAAGUCCGUGGUCCAUUUGAAAGAUUUCAGGAUGGACUACGGACCCUUGAGGUGCUGGACAAAAUCCAAGCUCACCCAGAGAGUUUUCGCACCCUUCUGUGCUGGUCACCUUCAGUGCUUACAGCUGACCUUCUUGACAGCCUCUUUACCAUCUGCCUUUCUCCAGCUGGGAGCAAUAAAAGGCAUGCUGAAGCAGUUGUCAUUUUUUUCUAGAGAGACUACCUAACAGAUGCAGAAGAUCAAGACGGAACGCAGAAGCUGGGGACAAUUCUUGCCUUCGCCACUGGAGCCAACACUGUUCCACCAAUUGGCUUCUCUUCACAACCGUCUAUUGAAUUUCUUUACCAAGAGCCUGAUGCACAAACCAUGUCUAAACUACCCAUUGCAAACACGUGCAUCAAUUGUUUAAAGUUACCACUUCAUACCUCUUACAAAGACUUUCAGGGGAAUAUGGACUUUGCAUUAGGUAAUACACAUGGUUUUGGAAUAGCUUAAUUCCUGGUCAGGUUAGUAUGCUAAUCUGAGCUUUGCACUAAGUUAAAUAAAUGAGUGUCAAUGAUUAAGUAAUUCUAAGAUUUUUUUU